GUCCUCAUAGCUCAACGGAUAGAGCACAGGUUUCCUAAACCUGGGAUGAAGGUUCAAUUCCUUCUGAGGACACCA
rnacentral:tRNA from 7 species